GACGAACGCUGGCGGCGUGCUUAACACAUGCAGGUCGAACGAUGAACCCGGAGCUUGCUCCGGCGGAUUAGUGGCGAACGGGUGAGUAACACGUGAGUAACCUGCCCUUGACUCUGGGAUAACUGCGGGAAACUGUAGCUAAUACCGGAUACGACCCUCGGCGGCCGCGCCAGGGGGUGGAAAGAAUUUCGGUCAAGGAUGGACUCGCGGCCUAUUAGCUAGUUGGUGAGGUAACGGCUCACCAAGGCGACGACGGGUAGCCGGCCUGAGAGGGUGACCGGCCACACUGGGACUGAGACACGGCCAGACUCCUACGGGAGGCAGCAGUGGGGAAUAUUGCACAAUGGGCGCAAGCCUGAUGCAGCAACGCCGCGUGAGGGAUGACGGCCUUCGGGUUGUAAACCUCUUUUAGUAGGGAAGAAGCGAAAGUGACGGUACCUGCAGAAAAAGCACCGGCUAACUACGUGCCAGCCGCCGCGGUAA
rnacentral:rRNA from 1 species